ACUUAAAGCCAGCCUAUCCGUACCCGAUCAUGAUUCAUUCAGAUCUACCCUCUCUCGACGAGAACGAAGAUCGAGAGAUACUGCCUAGCCACGGACAGGGAUAACGGUUAUCAAAUCACCAGAAUUAUCUUUCGGACAUGAUUAAAAGUGUUUAACGAUGGUGUUUUGUUUUAUUCUUGCAGAAUGGAUUAGAGUAGAUCAGACUGAUACGCACUGCGAUACAACUUCACAAUUAUAGUCGGGGAGUAAAUUCUGAGGAAAACAAUAAUGGAACGCAAGCAUUCUGGAAGGGGAAUUAUUCUUAGAAAUAAUAUGAGAGACACAGAUACCACUGGUUCUGCUCGAAGCUGCGAGGAAUUGCCAGGCUGUACUCUCGAGAUCACGGGCGAGAGAUACGCGCAGAGCUGUGCGGGUUUGCGCCCGCGCACCGUUGCAAUCCCGCGCAUGUACACUUCUUGGUAAAUAUAUUUUCGUUAAAAAUACAGUCGCACGUGUGCGUCGCGUGGUGCUCCCUGUGCACCUACGGGGGCAUAAUAUUUUCCGGCGAUACGUGCGCUCACGUAGACCCGGCUCCAUUACCGAUAUUUCUUUUCCCCGUCCAAUAGAGAACUCUUUCAUAGAUUCGUUUUAGAAAAUUGGAUGUUUUCUUAUGUCAGACAAAUAUUUUAAUCGAACUUCUUCUUGAUAUUGCGAUACAAGUUUUAACUAUAUAAACCAGUACGCUGAUUUAUACAGUUUUCUGAGUAAGAGUAACAACACAGACUGCUCAGGGAGAUUUAUUGAGGUACCAUCUAGUCCAGAAACAAUUAUAUUUCACCGGUUAUUCAACGCAUCCGUGGCACGCGAAUAUAGACUAAGGACAUCAACUUUUAUCGAUUUAUUAAAUUGUUUAUAAAGCAACACGACGUGUAACAUGCAAGAAUGAUCGUUGUGCAAGCGAACAGAGAGCAUAACUUACCAGGUUUUUGGGACGGUCGUUCGUUCUUUGGUAUGUAUCUGUUUCGGGACGGUCUCAGGUUCGGUGGCUUUUUGAUGCUCUCCAUAAGUAAUUCUCGCAGGGUCCAUUCUUUCCGCAGCGGUGGUAGUUGUCUCUCGGAGGCCUGAACAAGAUUCGACGAUGUACACGGCGAUUAUUUACAGAGACGAACAUUCUCGUUGAACUCUCGAAGGAGACCGUUACCUUUUUCAACGGAGGUUUACUCCUGAUAAAUUCUAGAAUAACCGCGUGGGCGUCUUUUCGCAAAUGUGGCGACGGCGAGGGUGUUUUCCUUAGGCGAUAUCUCCUUUUUCUAAUAUCGUCCAUCAAGACUUCGUACGGCGUUAACUCAAACUCCGCCCUCUUCCCGUGGCCACGGGCUGUGCUCUUGGCACCCAAGUUGGCUUCUACCUUUUUCAGUUUCACCCCUUUUCGCAACUCUUGGAUAACUUGCACCCAAAACCGUGCCUAUCGAAAUACCUUCGUUUAGAUCCUUGAUAUACGUUUGAACAUUUUGGAAAGAUACAAGAUAAAUAAACGUUAGAUAAUUUGUACUUUUAUACCGACGGUGUAUACAGAUUGCAACGUAAGAAAGUGUGAUUUCCGUAAUUACUGGUAGACAUGAGUAUCGAUGGAUACAUGCAUUUAUGAAGUACUUAUACAGUAGUUACUUUUGGAAGAAUCAAUUGUGCCCAAAACUGUACAGUCAGUUCUACGAAUUCUACGAAUUCUAUGGAAUCAUGCUACACAUGCUCGGUGCUAACACACUUUAAACUCUAACACUUGCUUCUCUCAUGCGCAAACAGUUAUUAACGAUGACAUACUUGUAUAGCUCUCCAAAUCCUAAUGUCAGUCUAUAACGGUAGAGAGUGAAGUCAAUAAAUCUCAAAUAUCUUAUCUCUGCAAAAUGACAAAUGACUUUAUGGGAUAUAGUAAUGUGAGUAGCCCCAUUUACGCACCAGUUAUCACACGUAUUAACGUAGACUUUACGACAAUUUCUACAUCGUUGAAAUGAUACAAAAAAAGAUCUCUAUAAAGAUCUGAUAUACAAGUUUUUUUCAUUUAUCUUCCGCGGAACUACCGACCAGUUGAAUUUAUGCGAAUACUUUUGUAGAACUGUGUCGAAAUGUUUUUAAAUAGAAAGUGCUAUAUUUGCACGAGGCUUUAUUAUCAUGAAUUAUGUUGUAACGAAAUGAUUUUGCGUCGCGACAAAUAGAGCCUUACCCAGUCGAUAAAAUCUAAAGUAUCAAGGUUCUGGACAGACAUAGAAUUUAUCCUAUUGCCAUCGUUGUUGUUGGUACCCCUUUGACUCGAUUUUAGUUGUUCAGACACCCCAAUGUUCACUAACUGGGACAGUUCCAAAGCCUCCGCUACAAAUGUCCGUAUUACAGCUUUGAAAUGAGUUUCGGCAGACUGAACGCUAGUUUGCAUAUGCCUGGUACAUAACUAUAAAUUAAUACAAAUUAAUAACGCUAAUACAUUAGCGAAAGAUCUUAGGAACUCGUGACCGCUGACUUACUUCCAUCACAUCUUUUAACGAAUAUAUAGACGACCGGUGUUCAUACGUAUCAUGACGCUUUUGUAAUAAAAAUUCAUCUAUAUCGAUAUCACUGGAGUCCCGCUCGAUACCUUCGUCGUCCGUUACCUGCGGACGAUCUUCUGUUUCCCCUUCACAUUCUACACAUCAUAAGAAGGAACAAUGAAAUCAUUUUCAGCAAUUCUUCUAGUCUCCGGUAAGUUUUACCUUCAUUUAAACUGGUCAUUAUCGUAAUGAGUUCCUCUAGAUCCGGUGAUAAUAGUCUUUCCUCUUGCUCGUCUAGGCCAAAAUCAAGCGCUUUAAAUAUCAUCAUGCCCAGUGACAACAUCGCCUGCAAUAGAAGAACAAUUCGUUUUUUUUUCAAAGAACAAAGUUUCCUUAUCACGAGAAUGCUGUGUCAGUGGCUUACUUUCUGCUCGGAUACGGAGGGCUGCUUCGAUUCUGUAACAAAUACGAUAAAAAUGCAUUUAGAUCAAGGAAAAUAAAGCAUCGCCGAUCUAUAGAUCGGUGAAAUGAUCGACAGGGCUACAGAUCGAUGCAAGUCGUGGGAAUGCGACUCCACAUUCCAGCGUCGAAUACUAUAAGAUCACGUCCCACCUGCAAUUCGAAGUUCAAAUACGAAUGAAUGAAACCUGUAUGCGAUUGAUGCACGUUUCAUCGGUGCCGAUCUCGUUGUAAAUAUUGAUCAAUCUUGUGAGAAUCUGUGAAACCAAUUAUAGUCUGUUUUUUUUUUUAGAAAAGGAAUCUGUCAUUUUAUACUCUGAGCAAAAUUCAGUUUUGGAUGAAAUUGUGAUAUUCUUAAACGAACGUCAACCAUAUUAAUAGUCUUAUCAAGAAACGAAGCAACACAAACAAUGAACUCGUAUCAGUAAUUAAGCGUUCAAGAUUCAAGGAACGCGUGCUUCGAGUCGCAUACGUCAUGCGGACUUCAACAAGUAUUUUAAGAAACUGUGUCACGCUUUUAAAAACCGCAACUUUUUACUAUAACUGUACUACAUACAUGUAUAGUUGUUUUACUAUACUUGGAUUGCUUGCAGCUACUAUUAUGCUACUAUAAUUUUACGGUACCGUAAUUGUUCUAUUAUUACAAAAUGUAUACAUAGAUAUAUUAUUAUUAUUAUAUUAUUAGUAUACAUAUACAUAUACAUAUCAAUGUAUACAUAGAUCGCGACAACAAGGUGACUAUGACAGAACUACAGUAUAACUAUGCAAGAGAUAUAUAGUUAUGUCCUACUACAGGGUCACAUUAUCGACCUUACAACAAAAUAAUAACGGCUCAAUUUUUUA